rnacentral:antisense_RNA from 1 species
CAUGGAAGUCUCCAAGCCUGUGCCAUCCACCUGCCAAGGAAAAGCACAAGGCAGUAGAGCGAGGGAAGCUGCACUGGCUGAGAGGCUGUGGAACCGGAUGAAAAAGCAGCCCCUGAGUCCUGUGGCGUUGGCUCAUACAGUUUGAACAUUUAUUCGCCUCCUGAGCUUGUACAACAGUCGUGGGAGUUGCUGCAGAAGCAAGCGAAAAGCCAGAUGAGCGCUUCUAAACUUAGAGAGAGGUAUUUUUUCUCUCAUAUGCAUAGACCUUUCUUUGAUGCCUGGAAAAUCAAAAGGAAGUUGAUGUUUUCCUAGAAAGAGGCUCUGAGCCAAGUCCUUUCUGUGCUUCCAUUUCUUCCCCUCUACAGGGAGAGCGCCUCAUCUCUUCCAUUUUCCAGGAGAGUUGGGGCCUUCCAUUCCCUCCAGUAAAUACUUGUUUUUCUUCCACCGCUGAGGCAAAUGCGGGGUGGCUGAUCACCUGGCAGACAUCUUAGGAAACAGGAGCACCGGUCUGGGAAACUGCUGGCCUGGCCUAACACCUGGCGCUGUGGUGCAGGAGGGCAGCCACUGAGGAUUCUUGAGGAGAGAGAGACCAUAGAAUGAAUGAAAGAGUUGGAAAGACUUUAAAGCUCUGGGAGGCUGAAUCCUUUAUUUCGCUGGAAGAAAAACUGAAUGCCAAGAGGGCCUCACUUUCCCCAAAGCUAUACAGCCAUCAGGGGCAAUGCUGGGAUUCCCCCAUGGAUCUCUUGACUCCUAAUACAGUGCUCUUUCUGAUAUGCCAUCUGGCUCCAUAAUGAACAUUGUGUUCCAGGAAAAUCAGUCUGCGCUGAACAGGAUGGAAUUGGGGCAGGACGUCCAGUGAGGAGGACAUUGAGGCAGUAGAGCAG